AGUGAACGCUGGCGGCGUGCUUAACACAUGCAAGUCGAGCGGUAAGGCCCUUUCGGGGGUACACGAGCGGCGAACGGGUGAGUAACACGUGGGUGACCUGCCCUCAGCUCUGGGAUAAGCCUGGGAAACCGGGUCUAAUACCGGAUAUGACUCCAUGACGCAUGUUGUGGGGUGGAAAGCCUUGUGCGGCUGAGGAUGGGCCCGCGGCCUAUCAGCUUGUUGGUGGGGGAUGGCCUACCAAGGCGACGACGGGUAGCCGGCCUGAGAGGGCGACCGGCCACACUGGGACUGAGACACGGCCCAGACUCCUACGGGAGGCAGCAGUGGGGAAUCUUGCGCAAUGGGCGAAAGCCUGACGCAGCGACGCCGCGUGA
rnacentral:rRNA from 1 species